rnacentral:rRNA from 1 species
UACGUAGGGACCGAGCGUUGUCCGGAAUCAUUGGGCGUAAAGAGCGUGUAGGCGGCCACUUAAGUCCUGCGUGAAAUCUUGCGGCUCAACCGCAAGCGGUCGUGGGAAACUGGGUGGCUAGAGUGCGGGAGAGGAGAGUGGAAUUCCUGGUGUAGCGGUGAAAUGCGCAGAUAUCAGGAGGAACACCGGUGGCGAAGGCGGAUCUCUGGGCCGAUACUGACGCUGAGGAGCGAAAGCGUGGGGAGCGAACAGG